rnacentral:rRNA from 1 species
UACGAAGGGUGCAAGCGUUACUCGGAAUUACUGGGCGUAAAGCGUGCGUAGGUGGUUUUUUAAGUCCGUUGUGAAAGCCCUGGGCUCAACCUGGGAAUGGCAGUGGAUACUGGAAAGCUAGAGUGCGGUAGAGGGUAGUGGAAUUCCCGGUGUAGCAGUGAAAUGCGUAGAGAUCGGGAGGAACACCAGUGGCGAAGGCGGCUGCCUGGACCAGCACUGACACUGAGGCACGAAAGCGUGGGGAGCAAACAGG